UAUGUGAUCGUCUCUCGCAUAUCAAUAAGCGGAGGAAAAGAAACUAACAAGGAUUCCCCUAGUAACGGCGAGUGAAGCGGGAAGAGCUCAAAUUUGAAAUCUUAAAGGGUUUCCCUUUACGAAUUGUAGUUUAAAGAAGUGUUUUCUGUUGAGGUUUUGGUAAAAGUCCUUUGGAAUAGGACAUCAUAGAGGGUGAGAAUCCCGUAUUUGACCUUUACUUCCAACUUUGUGAUACACUUUCAAAGAGUCGGAUUGUUUGGGAAUGCAGUCCAAAAUGGGUGGUAAAUUUCAUCUAAAGCUAAAUAUUGGCGAGAGACCGAUAGUGAACAAGUACCGUGAGGGAAAGAUGAGAAGAACUUUGAAAAGAGAGUUAAACAGUACGUGAAAUUGUCAAAAGGGAAGCGUUUGACACCAGUGUUGUUUUUCUGAAAAUCAAUUAAAGAACUGUUUAUGCUAAGCUGUUUAGACUUUAUCAGCUAUCUGUUUAGUUUUGAGCUUUUCUUUAAUGCACUUUUCAGUUAACAAGUCAACAUCAAUUUCUUUUGCUGUAAAAAAGCUUGAGGAAGGUGGCUUGAGAUUCGUCUUAAGUGUUUAUAGCCUCUUGCCUAUGCAGUCGGAGAGAUUGAGGUCUGCAGCGUAGAUCCUUCGGGGCUAAAUGCAUUUGUGCUAAGUUAUAGCAUUUUAUAGACAACUUGUUGACUAUGAUUUGUCUUGUAGCUUACUCGCUUAUGUUAUUUUACCUACGCUUAGGAUGUUGAGUAGCGACAUACGCAC
rnacentral:rRNA from 1 species